rnacentral:rRNA from 1 species
UACAGAGGUCCCAAGCGUUGUUCGGAUUCAUUGGGCGUAAAGGGUGCGUAGGCGGCGCGGUAAGUCGGGUGUGAAAUCUCGGGGCUUAACUCCGAAACUGCAUUCGAUACUGCCGUGCUUGAGGACUGGAGAGGAGACUGGAAUUUACGGUGUAGCGGUGAAAUGCGUAGAUAUCGUAAGGAAGACCAGUGGCGAAGGCGGGUCUCGUGGACAGUUCCUGACGCUGAGGCACGAAGGCCAGGGGGAGCAAACGGG